CCUACGGGAGGCAGCAGUGGGGAAUAUUGCACAAUGGGGGAAACCCUGAUGCAGCGACGCCGCGUGAGUGAAGAAGUAUCUCGGUAUGUAAAGCCCUAUCAGCAGGGAAGAAGAAAGACGGUACCUGCCUAAGAAGCACCGGCUAACUACGUGCCAGCAGCCGCGGUAAUACGUAGGGGGCAAGCGUUAUCCGGAUUUACUGGGUGUAAAGGGAGCGUAGACGGCUGUGCAAGUCUGAAGUGAAAGCCCAGGGCUCAACCCUGGGACUGCUUUGGAAACUGUGGAGCUAGAGUGCUGGAGAGGUAAGCGGAAUGCCUGGUGUAGCGGUGAAAUGCGUAGAUAUUAGGAGGAACACCAGUGGCGAAGGCGGCUUACUAAGCAGUAACUGACGUUGAGGCUCGAAAGCGUGGGGAGCAAACAGGAUUAGAUACCCUAGUAGUC
rnacentral:rRNA from 1 species